AGAGAUGGAUAUGUAAUCGCUUUACACAUUAAUUGUAAAGAGGAAAGUCCGAACUUUAUCUGUAGAAAAUUAUACUGCAGAAAAUGGUAAUAGGUAAUUCCUAUCAUUCGUAAGAGUAGAGGUGCGAACAGAGACGUUUUUCUUUGGAAACAAAAAAAAUAUCCUACAAUAUACAAAGGGAUAAGUUUUUGCAGUAAUGCAAAAAGUGAAACGGCUAAAACCUUACCAUAAAGCAAGACUGAAAAAUUAUAGUCGCUUGAUCGUUAAAAGCAAUUUUAACGACAGAGAAAUGAUUGCACUUUUAAAUUCUUAUUUUAAAAGACAGAAUUCGGUGUAUAAUCCAUCUCUAGGG
rnacentral:RNase_P_RNA from 1 species